GGAAAGGACUCCUGCAGAGCUGGAGCUGCUUAAAGGAAGCCGGGGAGACUGAGAGCCGGCGGGGAGGGGACCGAGCGUUCCGGACACACUCAGUGUGAAGCUGUGGACGUGGGAGAUCCCGGGGCCGUCAUGGCAGCGCCGGGAGUUGGGCAGAUUGGAGAGGAAGGAAGGAGCCUGGAAUUUCAGGCAGAGGACUUUGCGGGCCAUUCUGAAGGCCAGCUCCAGCAGCCCGCCCACCUCGGGGCAUGAGGGAGCACCCAGGAGUCCUCUCCAGGUUUCCCGGCAGAGCCCGCUGACUUGGUGCUUGGCAGAUUGGAAGGUCUGCGAGAGCAGGGACAGCCUUUUUGCUUUUCUUUGUAUCCUCAGCAUUUAGUACAACGCCCGGCACAAAGUAGCCGCUUUAGCGUUUGGUUGGUUGUUGUCCUUCUCAACGACGUCACCAAAAUGACAUCCUUGUGUUGGAGUCAAAGUGCAGCAUGUCCAGCUGUGCCUGAUCAGACCAAUAUGGGCUCUGCAGCAGGUCGGGCUGCGGGAACAUUGGGGGGUGAGAUGUCUCCAGAUCUGUGCACCUCGAAUUGUGAACAGAUUCAGCCAUUCUGGAGAGCAAUUUGGAACUAUGUUCAAAAGGUUAUCGAACUGUGCAUCCCCUUUGACCCAGCAGUAUUUCUACUGGCUUAUAUCCCAAAGAGAUCUUAAAGGAGGGAAAGGGACCCAUAUGUGCAAGAAUGUUUGUGGCAGCCUUUUUUGUAGUGGCCAGAAAGUGGAAACUGAGUGGAUCGAAUCAGUGGGAGAAUGGCUGGAUAAACUGUGGUAUAUGAAUGUUAUGGAAUAUUAUUGUUCUGUAAGAAAUGAUGAACAAGCUGAUUGUAGAAAGGCCUGGAAAGAUUUACACAAACUGAUGCUGAGUGAAAUGAGCAGAAGCAGGAGAUCAUUAUACACAGCAACAACAUGAUUAUGUGGUGAUCAAUUCUGAGGGAUGUGGCUCUUCUCAACAAUGAGAUGAUUCAGACCAGUUCCAAUGAUCUUGUGGGCGAAGAGAGCCAUCGGCACCCAGAGAAAGGACUGUGGGGACCGAGCAUGGAUGCGCUCACUUUUUUGUUGUUUGCUUGG
rnacentral:lncRNA from 1 species